UAUCGGUUCCCCCGCAACGAUUAUCUGUAAAUCCGCCAGGCCUGGAAGGGAGCAACGGUAGCAGGGACAUUGGGUGCCGGGGUGCGCUGACGCCG
rnacentral:SRP_RNA from 1 species